GAUGAACGCUGGCGGCGUGCUUAACACAUGCAAGUCGAACGAAGCACUUUAUUUGAUUUCCUUCGGGACUGAUUAUUUUGUGACUGAGUGGCGGACGGGUGAGUAACGCGUGGGUAACCUGCCUUGUACAGGGGGAUAACAGUUGGAAACGGCUGCUAAUACCGCAUAAGCGCACAGCAUCGCAUGAUGCAGUGUGAAAAACUCCGGUGGUAUAAGAUGGACCCGCGUUGGAUUAGCUAGUUGGUGAGGUAACGGCCCACCAAGGCGACGAUCCAUAGCCGACCUGAGAGGGUGACCGGCCACAUUGGGACUGAGACACGGCCCAAACUCCUACGGGAGGCAGCAGUGGGGAAUAUUGCACAAUGGGCGAAAGCCUGAUGCAGCAACGCCGCGUGAGCGAAGAAGUAUUUCGGUAUGUAAAGCUCUAUCAGCAGGGAAGAUAAUGACGGUACCUGACUAAGAAGCACCGGCUAAAUACGUG
rnacentral:rRNA from 1 species